rnacentral:misc_RNA from 1 species
UUCUGUCCAGGAGGAGAUCUGCACUCUCUUCGGCAGAGGCAGCCGGGGAAAUAUUUUUCUGAACAAGCUGUCAAGUUUUAUGUCGCUGAAGUACUCCUUGCGAUGGAAUACCUUCACAUGCUCGGAAUUAUAUAUCGUGACCUCAAGCCGGAGAACGUCCUUGUCAGAGAAGAUGGCCACAUUAUGCUCUCGGAUUUCGACCUGUCGCUCCAGUGCACUGUAAGCCCGACUUUCAUCCGAUUAUCGAACUCAGAAGCUAGUUCCCUUGGAAGGAACAACACUGGUUACUGCAUCCAGCCCACCUGCAUCGAACCGUCCUGCAUCCAGCCUUCUUGUGUUGUCUCCACAACAUGCUUUUCCCCUCGCUUUUUCUCGUCAAAGUCGAAAAAGGACCGCAAGCCGAAGCCCGAGAUUGGAAACCAGGUCACCCCCUUACCCGAGCUCAUCGCAGAGCCGACUGACGCUCGCUCAAUGUCUUUUGUUGGCACCCAUGAGUACCUCGCCCCAGAGAUAAUCAGCGGUAAGGGGCAUGGG